AAGCUUUGUGCUAGGAACUCUGAGGACCACAAAACUGGUAAGACAUGACUCCUGCCUGAAAUGAAGUGUAGAUGCUUUACUGUGGUUUCCAUUGUGUCUUCAGCCACCUCUGGGGGAUCUCCUUCUGUUUUUGAUGGCAUACCUGGAUUCAGUUAGCCAUGCAUACACAUUCCCUUAAUGAGAAACUUUAGCCAGUUUUUUAAAAAAAUCAUUCCAAAGAGUUAUUUAAAGAUCUACCACACCCUUGCUCCCCAUGUAGUAACCUAUGAGAGUGUGUGGAAUGGUGUGUGAGGAUGUUCUUGUUGCCUGUCUGAGCCUCAGAGGCCUCAUCCGUACAGGGUGGAUAAUCAUAACUUACUUCUUAGGGUUGAUGUGAUAAUAAUAUCUAUAAGUUAGUAAGGGAUGAGCAAACAUUCAUUCUCUUCCGCUUCCCUUUAACAGCCUUUUAUGAACAUGCUCCUUUGCUACCCUUGACGACUCUUUGAAACCUAAAAAGGAGCUUUAGUCAGAUUAACAGCUGGGGCUGAAUUUUAGGUCUUCCAUCCAAUAAGAGUGAGCUGCUGUGAUUGUAAGCAGAACUUGUCUUAUUUUUUCAACCAACAUUUUUGAAAACCUAUUUGUGAGAAUCCAUGCAAGAUACCUUAGAGAAAAGUUAUCUCGGCAAUAUAAUUUCAAGAGUUCCUCACUCCACCAACGUGCUGGGAAUGUAUACUUAUCAAGCGCUCUGGAUUAAGGCAUUGAAGACUGUAAUUUAAAAAAGAACAAAACAAAACAAAACAAAAAAACUCAUGAGGGUGAGGUUGCUAACAAUUAGCAUCACACCAAGUAAACACAACAACCUUGGUCAAUUAACCACCCGAGAAGAACUUAAAAUCAUGGAACAAAGAAGAGACAGAUUCUGAUGGGAGUGACUGUGUCUUUCUUUGAACAGACUCGAGGUCCUGCCAUGCCAGGCACCGUAGGGCCUAUGUACUUGGAGACGCAGCCUGGACCCUGCUAGGC
rnacentral:lncRNA from 1 species